AUUGGAGAACUAGCAGGCUGCACUAACGAAUCAAGUUGCCAGGUUAAAGAUGAAAUACAUGCAGGGAUAAUACACUGUAAGGAUACCUAGUAAUGGGGUUCUGAGGUUAGGCAAACAGUAAGGUAGUCAGACAGCAUUGAAGCGGUUAACUGGAUCAGAGCCAGAGUUUACCUAUGGAUGAGAGUUGAUUAAUGUCAGAUUUGUUCAAAUUAGUCCAGGUGCGUGGAGGAAGCAAAGAUGCUGUGUGUGGCGAAAGUAACCUGGCCACUGGUUCUUCAAGGGGCAUACUUGACAGCCUUCUACCCUGUGACUAUGGCCCCGUGAUAAAACUUGGUUUAAAUCACUGUUCAUGCCUUUUUCAAACUUAUGAUCACAGUUCAAACUUUCGAAGUGGCACUUCAAACUCCCGAACAGUCGGAGUGGCCGCCAAUCGAAAUUUGAGCACAUGGUUGCAACCAUCUUGUUCGCAUGGACCAAAAUCACGAACAGACUUCAGGGGGACUUAGACACGAAUGCCCUGGAUCUAUUGUU